rnacentral:rRNA from 1 species
CCUACGGGAGGCUGCAGUGAGGAAUAUUGGUCAAUGGGCGCUAGCCUGAACCAGCCAAGUAGCGUGAAGGAUGACUGCUCUAUGGGUUGUCAGCUUCUUUUAUAUGGGAGUAAAGUGCAGUAUGUAUACUGCUUUCCAUGUACCUUUUGACUAAGGAUCGGCUAACUCCGUGCAAGCAGCCGCGGUAAUAAGGAGUAUCCGAGCGUUAUCCGGAUUUAUUGGGUUUAAAGGGAGCGUAGUCGGGUGGUUAAGUCAGUCGUGAAAGUUUGAGGCUCAACCGUAAUAUUGCAGUUGAUACUGGCAUCCUUGAGUACAGUAGAGGUAGGCGGAAGUCGUGGUGUAGCGGUGAAAUGCGUAGAUAUCACGAAGAACUCCGAUUGCGAAGGCAGCCUGCUGGACUGUAACUGACGCUGAUGCUCGAAAGUGUGGGUAUCAAACAGGAUUAGAUACCCGAGUAGUC